GGCCCCGUAGCUCAAUUGGUUAGAGCGCCGCCCUGUCACGGCGGAGGUUGACGGUUCGAGCCCGUUCGGGGUCGCUA
rnacentral:tRNA from 1 species